rnacentral:rRNA from 1 species
GUGGGGAAUUUUGGACAAUGGGGGCAACCCUGAUCCAGCAAUGCCGCGUGCAGGAAGAAGGCCUUCGGGUUGUAAACUGCUUUUGUACGGAACGAAACGGUCCUGGCUAAUAUCCGGGGCUAAUGACGGUACCGUAAGAAUAAGCACCGGCUAACUACGUGCCAGCAGCCGCGGUAAUACGUAGGGUGCGAGCGUUAAUCGGAAUUACUGGGCGUAAAGCGUGCGCAGGCGGUGCUGUAAGACAGGCGUGAAAUCCCCGGGCUCAACCUGGGAAUUGCGCUUGUGACUGCAGUGCUGGAGUGCGGCAGAGGGGGAUGGAAUUCCGCGUGUAGCAGUGAAAUGCGUAGAUAUGCGGAGGAACACCGAUGGCGAAGGCAAUCCCCUGGGCCUGCACUGACGCUCAUGCACGAAAGCGUGGGGAGCAAACAGGAUUAGAAACCCUUGUAGUCC